rnacentral:rRNA from 2 species
UAGAGUUUUAUCAUGGCUCAGGACGAACGCUGGCGGCGUGCCUAAUACAUGCAAGUCGAACGAACUCUGGUAUUGAUUGGUGCUUGCAUCAUGAUUUACAUUUGAGUGAGUGGCGAACUGGUGAGUAACACGUGGGAAACCUGCCCAGAAGCGGGGGAUAACACCUGGAAACAGAUGCUAAUACCGCAUAACAACUUGGACCGCAUGGUCCGAGUUUGAAAGAUGGCUUCGGCUAUCACUUUUGGAUGGUCCCGCGGCGUAUUAGCUAGAUGGUGGGUAACGGCUCACCAUGGCAAUGAUACGUAGCCGACCUGAGAGGGUAAUCGGCCACAUUGGGACUGAGACACGGCCCAAACUCCUACGGGAGGCAGCAGUAGGGAAUCUUCCACAAUGGACGAAAGUCUGAUGGAGCAACGCCGCGUGAGUGAAGAAGGGUUUCGGCUCGUAAAACUCUGUUGUUAAAGAAGAACAUAUCUGAGAGUAACUGUUCAGGUAUUGACGGUAUUUAACCAGAAAGCCACGGCUAACUACGUGCCAGCAGCCGCGGUAAUACGUAGGUGGCAAGCGUUGUCCGGAUUUAUUGGGCGUAAAGCGAGCGCAGGCGGUUUUUUAAGUCUGAUGUGAAAGCCUUCGGCUCAACCGAAGAAGUGCAUCGGAAACUGGGAAACUUGAGUGCAGAAGAGGACAGUGGAACUCCAUGUGUAGCGGUGAAAUGCGUAGAUAUAUGGAAGAACACCAGUGGCGAAGGCGGCUGUCUGGUCUGUAACUGACGCUGAGGCUCGAAAGUAUGGGUAGCAAACAGGAUUAGAUACCCUGGUAGUCCAUACCGUAAACGAUGAAUGCUAAGUGUUGGAGGGUUUCCGCCCUUCAGUGCUGCAGCUAACGCAUUAAGCAUUCCGCCUGGGGAGUACGGCCGCAAGGCUGAAACUCAAAGGAAUUGACGGGGGCCCGCACAAGCGGUGGAGCAUGUGGUUUAAUUCGAAGCUACGCGAAGAACCUUACCAGGUCUUGACAUACUAUGCAAAUCUAAGAGAUUAGACGUUCCCUUCGGGGACAUGGAUACAGGUGGUGCAUGGUUGUCGUCAGCUCGUGUCGUGAGAUGUUGGGUUAAGUCCCGCAACGAGCGCAACCCUUAUUAUCAGUUGCCAGCAUUAAGUUGGGCACUCUGGUGAGACUGCCGGUGACAAACCGGAGGAAGGUGGGGAUGACGUCAAAUCAUCAUGCCCCUUAUGACCUGGGCUACACACGUGCUACAAUGGAUGGUACAACGAGUUGCGAACUCGCGAGAGUAAGCUAAUCUCUUAAAGCCAUUCUCAGUUCGGAUUGUAGGCUGCAACUCGCCUACAUGAAGUCGGAAUCGCUAGUAAUCGCGGAUCAGCAUGCCGCGGUGAAUACGUUCCCGGGCCUUGUACACACCGCCCGUCACACCAUGAGAGUUUGUAACACCCAAAGUCGGUGGGGUAACCUUUUAGGAACCAGCCGCCUAAGGUGGGACAGAUGAUUAGGGUGAAGUCGUAACAAGGUAGCCGUAGGAGAACCUGCGGUUGGAU